AGAAGGUUAUACUCAGAUAAAGCUGGUCAUAUGAGAGUGUAAUGUAUUACCUCAACUUGUGACUUAUUCUAUAACACUUAAUAACUAGUUUAAUGUUUAUCUCAUCAGACUUUAAAGUGUCAAGUCUUGUUUGGAUUGUACAUUGAAGCCUUACGUUUUUAAAAACCAAUUUUGUAUUUUUCUUGCGGAGGUCUCUGCUUUUGUCGCUCUCCCAUGCUAGGCACACAUCUAGGUAGACACGAAGCAUCUAAAUUUGUGGGAGCUGGAUCAGCCGCCAGAUGAGAUGCAGGACCAAGGACCCCACCUGCUGAAUAGCUUGCCUCCUGUAUGGAUGCCCAGAGCCGGACCGUGUUUUCUUUUAAAUGCGUGUCUUAAUACCAGAGUGGCAAAGGCAGCAGUCGUGCGGAGGAACGCUGCCCUGGACGUCGACUGUGAGGACAUUGUGAAGACUUUCCUGAAGGAGUCGAUGUUUGCGGAGCGUCCUGCGUCUGUGUCUGUCCUGGCCCUGGCGCGCGUGCUGUCUGUGUCCGUAUCUCGUCCUCUGUCUCCCUCUCCUCCCCUCCCCGCUCCGCUGGGCCCCCAGCCCCGUCUCGCCCGUAACUGGCCACGGACACACGCACUUUUUCUCCUUUGCGAUGUCGGAUGGAGUUGUGUGCCUUGUUUUUCAUUUUGAAAGCAGAUGGGUCAAACGUUCAUGUUGCUCUGGUUGACAACCCUCAAUAAAAGACAAAAAAAAAAUGUUCUACA
rnacentral:lncRNA from 1 species